rnacentral:sRNA from 1 species
AUGAUGCAGUUCCACAACACACAGCCACAUUCACCCACAGACCGAGGUACAGAACGAGAGACAACCUCUGCCCCCCCAGCAGCUGGCCAGCUUUGCAGCCCCAGUCUUGAGCCCCCAACUACCCUCCCCCCACCCACCCCCAUCCCCUUCCCAAUUGAAGGAGCGGAAAGAGAAGAGAGAAGAGUGAGCAGAGAGAUUGAGAGAUUGAGAGAGAGAGAGAGAGAUAGACGGAGAUCUCUGGAGCAGACCUCAAGCCAACCUGCUCCGCUGCUUCACCUGCGACCGUCUCUGCGGGGGCUGCACGGCGCCAGCCCCUCCAGCCCGCCAGGGCAUUGUCCUCCAGCCCGUCAUGCCCAGCUGUGACCCCGGUCCGGGCCCUGCCUGCCUCCCCACCAAGACUUUCCGCAGCUAUCUGCCCCGCUGUCACCGCACUUACAGCUGUGUCCACUGCCGUGCACACCUGGCCAAACACGAUGAGCUUAUUUCCAAGUCCUUCCAAGGGAGCCAUGGCCGAGCCUACCUGUUUAACUCCGUGUGAGUCUACCUCUUUCCUUGUGCGUGUG